GUGGGGAAUCUUCCGCAAUGGACGAAAGUCUGACGGAGCAACGCCGCGUGAACGAUGACGGCCUUCGGGUUGUAAAGUUCUGUUAUACGGGACGAAUGGUACGACGGCCAAUACCCGUCGUAAGUGACGGUACCGUAAGAGAAAGCCACGGCUAACUACGUGCCAGCAGCCGCGGUAAUACGUAGGUGGCAAGCGUUGUCCGGAAUUAUUGGGCGUAAAGGGCGCGCAGGCGGCGUCGUAAGUCGGUCUUAAAAGUGCGGGGCUUAACCCCGUGAGGGGACCGAAACUGCGAUGCUAGAGUAUCGGAGAGGAAAGCGGAAUUCCUAGUGUAGCGGUGAAAUGCGUAGAUAUUAGGAGGAACACCAGUGGCGAAAGCGGCUUUCUGGACGACAACUGACGCUGAGGCGCGAAAGCCAGGGGAGCAAACGGGAUUAGAAACCCCAGUAGUCC
rnacentral:rRNA from 1 species